CGAGUUUCCAUGACAACACAAAGGCAGCAGACUGUUAGCAGGGGAUAAAGGGGUGACCAGAGUGAGGAGACAAGUGAAGCUUGAUCCACCAAAGAGAGGGAAGUCGGGUCGUUCUGAAGCGUUCUCCGUCUUGGGACAUCCACGGGCUGAUGGUCAGAGCGAUGGAACCAAACGGACCGUGCAGACGUCGGGUGUUGCAGGAUGGGUUGUUCUGUCGGUUUCUCAAAUCCUAACAGAGUGU